CGCUAAGGUCGGAGCUGGGGAAGGGGAGGCCCAGGAAUGGUUCCGCAGGAGGAGACCACCGUUCCCAAGAGGGGAAUUCACGAAUGAGUGCUGCACACCAGGGAAGCAGUGAGGUUGCAAUACAGGGGGGACCAGGUAUCUUGGAGCUCAAUUUUUCUAGAGUGAGGAUUUGAAGAUGGAAAGUGACCUACCAGGGGACACCACAGGAAGAGAGCCUGCUCUAAAGUUAAGCUAAUUCACAGGAAAGCAGAGGUGACAGAGACAGAGACAGAAGGAGUAACCUCACUGAAGUCCUCGGGUGCAGCUGUCCUGAGCAAGUCCAACUCUUGGACUUUCCAGUCAAGAGAACCAAUGAAUUCAUUUCUCAAUUUAGCCAGUUUGAGUCAGGCUUCGGAAAGAGUCCUGAGUCACACUUAUGGCAAGCACUAGAGAAGGGAGCAAUGGGUGCAAGCUUCGUGGAAAAAACUAGAGUUCUUACCAAGUGGCCAAAUCUGCUGUCAGGCUUUUGGGACUGCUGGGUCCUGCAGAGAAUUCUGGGAGACUGGAGGACUGAUCACAUGUUUCUCGUUUUCCCUCCCUCCUCAGACACCUGUUAGAUAAACUGCCACCUAAGGUAACCUGAGCAUGUCUCCAGUUCUUGCAGCCUGAUAGAAUCGAGGGAAAAGUGGGUCCUCUUCCCUCCCUCGUUAUCACUCUGUAUUCCUAUUGCUGUUCCCUUUGCUCAUUUCAGUAAGAAGGUAAAUCAUCAUAAUAAUAUAUUUUAAAAUUUGCAUUUCUUUCAUUGCUAAUGAGACUGAUGCAGAUUAAACAUGUUGAUUAGAUGUUUUUACUUAUUUCCUCUUUUGAGAAUUAUAUGUUUAUGCUCAUUGCCCAUUUAUCUACUGGAAAAUCAUAGCUUAGUUAUAUAAAAAUUAUCUAUGACACACAAGAGAAAACCACGAAUCUAUUAAAGAUGUAAAGUAUCACAGUCAGUAAGGCUCUGUUGUUUCAAACCAAUCUCACAAAUGUCUAGAUGAAUCCUGUCAAGUUCUUAUAAAAUCCAGCCCUGUGCCUAUAUUAUUUGAGAUGUUAGAGUUUACCUGAUAUUGUCAAACUAAACAUUAAAGCAAAUCUUACUUCAGAAAACCUA